UAAGUUAAGAUUUGUGAAGA
rnacentral:snRNA from 1 species